AUUGAACGCUGGCGGCAGGCCUAACACAUGCAAGUCGAGCGGAUGAAGGGAGCUUGCUCCUGGAUUCAGCGGCGGACGGGUGAGUAAUGCCUAGGAAUCUGCCUGGUAGUGGGGGAUAACGUCCGGAAACGGGCGCUAAUACCGCAUACGUCCUGAGGGAGAAAGUGGGGGAUCUUCGGACCUCACGCUAUCAGAUGAGCCUAGGUUGGAUUAGCUAGUUGGUGGGGUAAAGGCCUACCAAGGCGACGAUCCGUAACUGGUCUGAGAGGAUGAUCAGUCACACUGGAACUGAGACACGGUCCAGACUCCUACGGGAGGCAGCAGUGGGGAAUAUUGGACAAUGGGCGAAAGCCUGAUCCAGCCAUGCCGCGUGUGUGAAGAAGGUCUUCGGAUUGUAAAGCACUUUAUGUUGGGAGGAAGGGCAGUAAGUUAAUACCUUGCUGUUUUGACGUUACCAACAGAAUAAGCACCGGCUAACUUCGUG
rnacentral:rRNA from 1 species